AGGUACAUACGGGACUUUGGGGGCGGGUUUUGGCGGGAAAAUCUGUAAUGUUUGGAGAAGACAAGAUGGCGCUGGUUACCUCGUGUCAUAUCAAAGGGCAUUUUUGUUCACAAAUACCCGCUUAUUUUACGUUAUAGCGACUGGUUCGUUUUGGAAAUUAUAACUGAAUGGACGGGGAAAAUGAUUCUGUAUUAAAGAGAAAAUGAUGUGCAGUUAUUGUGAUGUUAUUUGUUGUGAAAGACGGCCCGAAAUUUCGCUACUUCGCAGUACUGGUUUAUAAAACAUUUACAAGCAACAGCAAUUGAACUAUAUGACAAAGAAACCAAUGUAUACAAGCCAAUCAAGUUCUUCAGUUUAAAGGUCUGUUUACUUUUUAAUAAUUAGUUCAUUUAGUUGUACAUUAAUACGAAGUACUGGAACAGUACGCCUAGCCACAGAAUAGGAAGGUAUACCCAUUGAACUAAAAAUAACUGGAACGAUACCUCCAGCCUAGCCUGCGUAGCAGUCGCUUUAUUUUAUUGUAGGUUUUGAGGAUUUUUGAAUAAGUGGCGAGUUAGAAAAAUGGACGAAGAAAAAAAAAGGGCGAAGGAAAAAUAAAGUGCCUACAACCGUCCUAAAUAAAAAUUAAUUCCGCCACUUACUUGAAAUUUCCGGCCACACUAAAACAACCAACCAAUCAGACACGAGACGCAAGUAUGAAGUGAAGUGGCGGCGUAAUUAUGUAAUGAAAACAAACAGAUAUCGCGCACAUAAGAUCUACGGGCCGGCUCAAUGAAUUUUAGUUCAAGGAUGAGCGCUAAGCAAUUUGAUUACUGUAAUAAAUGUUUGAAGCUUUCUCAAAUAACCUCAAAAAUGACUAAGCUCGGCUAAAGCGAUGCAAUGUUUGCUGUAAUUUCGACUUUAAGUAACACCUCUUGGGUCGGUUAAAGGUGCUCUACAGUCCGUAUGUAAACAAAGCCAAACGUUUUGACUUUAGGCCAUAUUUUCGCAAAGCCAAAAGAUCCUGUUGAAAAAAAUCAGAAGACUCAUGCUAUAUAUUCUAUACCAUGCGGUGACUGCGACAAAGAGUAUUUGGGUCAGUCUAAACGCCAGUUUGGUACACGGCUAAAAGAACAUCAAAAGGCUGUUUCAACUUUAGACAAGGGAAAAUCAGCUUUAGCCGAACAUGUAUGUUACACCAAACACAAAAUGGCGUGGGAAAACUCUAAAGUAAUUACCACAAACAAUCGCUAUGGUCAAAGACUUUGCCUAGAAGCGUGGCAUAUAAAUAUGAGUCAUCAUGCUUUGAAUAGGGAUGACGGCGCCUAUUUGCCAGAGAAAUAUAUGCAUCUUCUUGGCAGGUGACGUCAUCCCUUGGGUAUUUAAGAAGACACGAUCGCAGUUUUAGAUCACCCCUGAUGAAGACACUAGACUGGAGUGUCGAAACGUUGGGUCUUGAUUACAAUUCGACUGGGCUUUGUAAUCAUUUAUUUAAACCAGAGUAGUGAGCGAAACAUGAUUGAUAUACCUGGUUGCAGUGAACGAACAAACUUUAUAUAAAGAAAUGUGUUAAAGUUAUCAAGUUUUACGGUUGAAUGAGAAUAAUAUAAACAUUCAUAUAAUAUCAAUACCUCUACAUCGUGUCUUUGUCCAUUUCGACUAUGGCUUGGUGGAAAUUUGUAAAAUAUCCCUAAUUCACCCCCAGUCUGCAUUUUAUCCUCAGUCUGCAUUUUAUACCCCCAGUCUGCAUUUUGUACCCGGUCUGCAGUCUGCAGAUUAUACUGACCGCUUACGGUAGCCAUUAAUUUUGGAGGUUGGUAAAUUCGUUCUUAAUUAAAGUUUUUUGUAACAGGUUAGCGAGAAAACAUUUCAACAAGUUUACAAGCGAGAUCUUGCUGAUUUAUGAAAAUCCUGAAAAGUUACUGCGGCGCUAUACCAUGCCCAAAAUAAGCAGUUUGUGGAAAAAUAUUGAAAGCAUGUGUGCUAUCAUACCCUGGAUUCCAGAGCCUUCGACAAUAAAUAAUAAAUUGAAACAUCGCGAAGGCUCUGGUUCAACGGGAAGAUUCUUUGAUUAAACUGUGCCAAUCACAAAACAGAAUUAGUGGUUUUAGUAAUUAGUACAGAUUCUGUACUAACAGCACUAAUUCUGUUCUGUGAUUGACACGGUUUAUAAAUCAAAGAAUCUUCCUGUUGAACCAGAGCUUUCGCAAUGUUUCAAUUUAUUAUUUGCUGUCAAAGGCUUUGGAAUCCAGGGUAGUGCUAUCGUAACAAAAGAGGAACAUUUGGUUGCUUUUUGAAAUGAAAUAGAACAUAUAAUUAUAUCAUUUUAAUGACUUGCUUCUGAUUUUCAGAGAGGUCUUGGAAACAUUAUUAAUUGUUGAUACUUUUGAAAUAUUCAGCAACUUGCCGAUGAAAUUUUUAUAAAAUAUUGCCAUAAAAUAUAACAUUCUAAGGCUAUAUAUAUAUUGAUACUAUUGAUACUAUAGUGCUGUUCCAACGUACAAUAAUGUGAAAAAAGAAAAGAAAAAAAGAGAUGAAAAAGUUUUUUCAUCAAGUGAGAAAAAUUUCCGGAGAAACUUUCCAAAAUUGUUGUCGCUCCAAUAUUGUUUAGGUCCAUUUUUUUAAGUAUUUUAUAAAGCGUAUGCUAUGUAUGUGCUAAGAAGCUAGUUUUGUUGGCAUGUGGAAAGCAAAAGUAGCGAAGGUAAAGAGAUUAAAAUUGGAUUUAGUGCGUAUUUUUGAAAAAAUUUUACCGUCCCCCCCCGUCGAUGACACUUGUGACGUCAGGUACAUACGGGACUUUGGGGGCGGGUUUUGGCGGGAAAAUCUGUAAUGUUUGGAGAAGACAAGAUGGCGCUGGUUACCUCGUGUCAUAUCAAACGGCAUUUUUGUUCACAAAUACCCGCUUAUUUUACGUUAUAGCGACUGGUUCGUUUUGGAAAUUAUAACUCAAUGGACGGGGAAAAUGAUUCUGUAUUAAAGAGAAAAUGAUGUGCAGUUAUUGUGAUGUUAUUUGUUGUGAAAGACGGCCCGAAAUUUCGCUACUUCGCAGUACUGGUUUAUAAAACAUUUACAAGCAACAGCAAUUGAACUAUAUGACAAAGAAACCAAUGUAUACAAGCCAAUCAAGUUCUUCAGUUUAAAGGUCUGUUUACUUUUUAAUAAUUAGUUCAUUUAGUUGUACAUUAAUACGAAGUACUGGAACAGUACGCCUAGUCACAGAAUAGGAAGGUAUAC